rnacentral:rRNA from 1 species
AAUUUUGCGCAAUGGGCGAAAGCCUGACGCAGCGACGCCGCGUGGACGAAGAAGGCCUUCGGGUUGUAAAGUCCUGUCAGUGGGAACGAUGAUGACGGUACCCGCUGAGGAAGCUCCGGCUGACUCCGUGCCAGCAGCCGCGGUAAGACGGAGGGAGCAAGCGUUGUCCGGAAUCACUGGGCGUAAAGAGCUCGUAGGCGGGGACUUAAGUCUGGGAGUAAAUCCAACGGCUUAACUGUUGGGUCAUCCCGGAUACUGGGUCUCUUGAGGACAGAAGGGGAAAGGGGAAUUCCAGGUGUAGCGGUGGAAUGCGUAGAUAUCUGGAGGAACACCGGUGGCGAAGGCGCCUUUCUGGUCUGAUUCUGACGCUGAGGAGCGAAAGCCAGGGGAGCGA